AGAGAAAGAUGUCACAAUAACCAAUAAAUCGACAUGUGGUAUUUGUAUAAGUAUAGUGUCUCAUUGAUAAGAGAUUUAGUAACAGAUAGUUAUCAUAAACAUAUGUACAUGCGUACUGUCUUCACAGACAACCUUCUGCUGCGGCAGUAGUCUUGUAGCGGUGGUGGUGACAACAGUGGUGGCUAUACUGACCCAUGCACACCCACAGCCCACACACACACACACACACACACACACACACACGUAAAGUGAAGUGUUGCUAUAUUACCGAGUUUUCAAGGAGCACCAAGCAACAAUCAGCAAUAGAAACAGUGGAAGCCUUCACCACACUGCCUAAUCUUCGUCUCUUAAAGGCUCAGAUGUGUGAAUGGAUGGAGUAACAAUGGAGAAGGAUGAAGAAGAAAUGAGAAAUAAAGGUGGAAUAGGAGAAGAAGCCAAGGUGUAAUAUUUAGGUGACGACAGGCAGAAUGAGGUGGACGUGGCGGAGGCUGUGGGCGGUCAAUUCA